rnacentral:rRNA from 1 species
UACGAGGGGGGCGAGCGUUGUUCGGAAUUAUUGGGCGUAAAGGGCGCGUAGGCGGUUCGGGAAGUUUGGUGUGAAAUCUUCGGGCUCAACUCGAAGUCUGCACGAGAUACUGCCGGGCUUGAGUGUGGGAGAGGUGAGUGGAAUUUCCGGUGUAGCGGUGAAAUGCGUAGAUAUCGGAAGGAACACCUGUGGCGAAAGCGGCUCACUGGACCAUAACUGACGCUGAGGCACGAAAGCUAGGGGAGCAAACAGG